rnacentral:rRNA from 1 species
GACGAACGCUGGCGGCGUGCUUAACACAUGCAAGUCGAACGAACACGACCGAACUUUCCCGGUCUGAUUAGUGGCGAACGGGUGAGUAACACGUGAGCAACCUGCCCUUCACUGUGGGAUAACCCCGGGAAAUCGGGGCUAAUACCGGAUAUGAGCUCCUGUCGCAUGGCGGGUGUUGGAAAGUUUUGCGGUGAAGGAUGGGUUCGCGGCCUAUCGGUUUGUUGGUGCGGUAGUGGCUCACCAAGGCGAUGACGGGUAGCCGGCCUGAGAGGGCGACCGGCCACACUGGGACUGAGACACGGACCAGACUCCUACGGGAGGCAGCAGUGGGGAAUAUUGCACAAUGGGCGAAAGCCUGAUGCAGCGACGCCGCGUGAGGGAUGACGGCCUUCGGGUUGUAAACCUCUUUCAGCAGGGAAGAAGCGAAAGUGACGGUACCUGCAGAAGAAGCGCCGGCUAACUACGUG